UUUCCCUCUAAUGGUUCAACAGCUUCAAUGCACACUCUCUCUGACUCCCUUCCAACUUCAUCUCCAACCUUCGACGUCCGACUUGUUACAAAGACCCUAACCCACCGACAUCCGGGAACACUAACCCGCCGACAUUCGCCAACACUAAGGUCCCGGGAACCGUACUGACUGCCAAUGUUCCCGCUGCCAAAAAAAUACUUAAUUCAAUAACUUCGCCCUGAACAGGGCAGUAUGCCGUUUGCCCACGGUGGUUCUGAUGAAUCCUGUGGGUGGAAGAACCUCCCUCUGCUUCGUUCGUGCAUCCAUUUUUCACGAGUGAAGUAUUUUUGCUUCACAGUCAAUUCAACGGGAAGAUGGUUGUUCUUGCUUAAAUUUCACCAUUAAUUUGCUUUUUAUGUUUCCCCAUUGUUUUAUGAUGAAGGCAACAAAUCCCUCAUGCAAUGCAAACAUAUGAACCAAGUCCUUUCUUAUAAUUUUGCCCACUAACUGUUUGAUAAAAUGCUUCAAUGACAGCGACCUCCCCUUAUAGAAAAUCCAAUUCAUGCCAAUUGCUUAUGAAUGCUCUAAUUCAUGAACAGUCUUACUGUCACAAUUCAUGGCAAUUGUUCCCCUGUUGGGAGGUGUUAUUUGCAUCCCUCAAUGUUUCUAGGCCUUUUGGAUUUGCAAUUGGAUUAAACGAAGCAAGGGUCAUUCCAUUGAUGGAAUGUCAUGUGCACUAACUGUUUGAUUUAAUUUCUUUUGGGUGGUGGUUCCAUUGUUUCAUUGAAACAUUUAGUACACUUAAAAUAUUGUGUCACAGUUUUUGGGCGAUGAGGGAGUAUCAGUUGCUAUUUAUCCGGUGAACAUGUUAAUCGAGAGUAAUUUAAAAUCAUUUCUCCUUAAGAAGAACUUCCUCUUUGUUAGAGUAAUUCAUUUCUGUAUAAAAUAAGGAUUUAGAAAUGCAAAAAAAAAAAAAAAAAGUUUUGCCAAACAACUUCUUUUGGUUACUUCAUUAUAUCCAUGUAAAACAACAUUGCCAACAAGAUGAAAGUUUUUCCUAAUCAUGUUUCUUGACUUCUGUUAUUUCUAAAAGCAUAUUAGCCCUAUAGCCAAUUGCCCAAUUUGUAGUAUUUUUGCCGCAGAUUCUGUUGUACAUGCUUCUUGAUAAGGAGGUAUUUAUAUGAUGUAAUCAGAAGUGACUGGUGUAAACUAUAGAUUACUUUCCAUUCAUAUUAGGUUGGUGCCUACUUGGCAUUGAUUAUAAGAUGUGAAUUCUCAUGAAUACACCAUGUAAGGUUUUGAUGCUAUGGAAUAUUAAAGGCUUCAUACUUACUUAGUUACUUGUCAAGAUUGCUUAGCCUGGUCGGUUCAACUACACACAAAGAUUAACACUGGUGAAUUCAUUUAGUUGUGCUACUUUCCUUCUGUUUCCGAUUCUUCUUUUCACUUUUAAGUGCCAUUUGAGUUCUGUUCCAGCUAUGUUCCUUUUUUUUCUUUUUAAAUUUUUUUUUGGAAGUUGGAAUGUGUUGGGUAGGAGAAAGCGGAAAAGGUAACAACAGGAAAGCAAAUUGAAGUGGAGAAGCAUAUAUUUUCUUCUUCUUUUUGGGCUCAAGACAUGAGGAGAAAAAAAUGGACAGAAAGACGAAGGUGUCUGUCUUAUUUUCAAGAAUGUCGAUAGCUACUACUAAAAGACCCACAAUGCAUUUCCUUGGCUUGAUACCCCCUUUAAAUAAUUGCAUGGCGUGACAUUGCCAGUCGGUGGAACCGCUGCAUGAAAAUCAGACCAAUCGGCAACAUGUAAUCUUUUUUGUCUCAGCAAUCAUACAAACAACAGUAAGAUCAUGCAAAAAAUGUUAUAUUCUCUUUCUAGUGCAUACAGUUUAAGUGUUUGUUUCUUUUAAUUGAAGUGUGAAGGCAUAAUUUCCAUGUAUAGGCCAAAUUACUGAACAACAAUCCAUGUUUGUAGCAGUCAAGUCAGUAUUCUCAAAAUGCCUUAAUGCUGUGACUCGUUUUGCAAAGGUAAAUGGCUUUCCAUUUUCUGUUUGCUUUUCUUUUCUUCUAUGACGGAUGGUUGGCAGGCGCCACAUACUUAUUUGUCAUUGUCUCAAUAUGUAGCAGUCACAAAUGGCAAUGGUUCUGAUCCGUAAAGAGAUUAAUACAAUUCUCUCUCUGGCAUCCUCAAGAACAAAUCUCCCGUCAGUGCCUUUAAUUUUGAUCCAUUCCCUGGAUUUGAAAACCACAUUAACCUAUUUCUUGGAUUGUUUAUGUUGAUUAGGUCACUUCUUUUUUUCUUAAUUUUUUAGCAGCGAUGUACAAGAACUGGAGGAUACACUAUGCAAUUAGCCUAUUAGGUGGCAACUGAUGUGCUAAAAGAAAUGAGAAGAUUGGAUGGAAAACGAUCAAGCAAUCCAGCUUGAAAAUUGAUGGAAAACGGUUACAGUUCUACCUAGGAAGAUGAGAAACUUUUCACAGGGACUGUGUGUGGGGGAUGGAGGAGGAGAAAACAGUGGCAGAACCGGCAUAAAUGGGGUGUUGCUUGGUGCGGAACUGUGGAAUUUGGCAUGGGUCAGGAUUGGGCUCCGUUUUUUGUUUACAAGGAUCUUUUGGACUAAGAGAGAAAUAUAAAUUUUUGUGUGGUGUGUGUAGUGAGCUUGAGAGAGAAAUACUAGUUUGUAGGUUCGGCCAGGGGCAACAUGGAAGAAUACCACCAAUCUCAAGCUCAUCUUUUUACCCCAAAAAAACGUUGAAGGAUACCUAAAAACAAAUCAACUGGGUGGAAGUACUAGAACUUUGUUUCGAAUGUCUUGUGUUCUAACUUCUAACGUAAUGCUAUUGGUAGUAAGGGAGUCAUGAGCAGGUCUGACAUUGUAGUGAACUGGGUUCUGUCUCAAGGUUUUUUUAUUUUUUUUUGAAAAUUGUCUCAAGGUGAUGUUUAUAAGUUUGGGAUUAUGCUCAAAAGUUUGUAUUUUACUAAUGUUUGGUAGGAGAUGUUGAAGCUA